GCGUUCGUGGUGUAGUGGUCAGCACGCUCGGCGCGUAUUCGAGAGGUCCGUGGUUCGAAUCCCGGUGAGGGCA
rnacentral:tRNA from 1 species